UAGCUCAAUGGUAGAGCAGCGGCCUUGAAAACCAAAGGUCUGUGGUUCGAUUCCCAG
rnacentral:tRNA from 1 species